rnacentral:misc_RNA from 1 species
GAUGAAGAACGCAGAGAAAUGCGAUAAGUAGUGUGAAUUGCAGAAUUCAGUGAAUCAUCGAAUCUUUGAACGCACAUUGCGCCCCUUGGUAUUCCAUGGGGCAUGCCUGUUCGAGCGUCAUUUGUACCCUCAAGCCCCCGGGUUUGGUGUUGGGGAUCGGGCUGUACUCCAGCCCGGCCCCGAAAGCUAGUGGCGGUCUCGCUGCAGCCUCCAUUGCGUAGUAGCUAACACCUCGCAACUGGAACGCGGCGCGGACAAGCCGUUAAACCCCCAACUUCUGAAUGUUGACCUCGGAUCAGGUAGGAAUACCCGCUGAACUUAAGCAUAUCAAUAAGCGGGGA